GACAGAGGGUGCAAACGUUUGUUCGGAAUUACUGGGCGUAAAGCGCGUGUAGGCUGCUUCGCAAGUCGGAUGUGAAAAGCCCUGGGCUCAACCCAGGAAGUGCAUUCGAAACUGCAGAGCUGGAGUCCUGGAGAGGAAGGCGGAAUUCUCGGUGAGAGGUGAAAAUUCGUAGAUAUCGAGAGGAAACACCCGGGUGGGCGAAAGGGCGGCCUUCUGGUCGCAUACUGACGCUGAGGACGAGAACGUGGGGGAGCAAA
rnacentral:rRNA from 1 species